GACGAACGCUGGCGGCGUGCCUAAUACAUGCAAGUCGAGCGGACGGGUGGGAGCUUGCUCCCAGACCGUCAGCGGCGGACGGGUGAGUAACACGUGGGCAACCUGCCUGUAAGACUGGGAUAACUCCGGGAAACCGGGGCUAAUACCGGAUAACUCUUUCCCUCACAUGAGGGAAAGCUGAAAGAUGGCAUCUCGCUAUCACUUACAGAUGGGCCCGCGGCGCAUUAGCUAGUUGGUGAGGUAACGGCUCACCAAGGCGACGAUGCGUAGCCGACCUGAGAGGGUGAUCGGCCACACUGGGACUGAGACACGGCCCAGACUCCUACGGGAGGCAGCAGUAGGGAAUCUUCCGCAAUGGACGAAAGUCUGACGGAGCAACGCCGCGUGAGUGAUGAAGGUUUUCGGAUCGUAAAACUCUGUUGUCAGGGAAGAACAAGUACCGGAGUAACUGCCGGUACCUUGACGGUACCUGACCAGAAAGCCACGGCUAACUACGUG
rnacentral:rRNA from 1 species